GAUUAUUCCAGACUUUUCCCUUAAGAACACUUGUCCAGUCUGGUAAAUCUUCCCAAGCCACCUCUCUUCCCCUUUUUCCCUGGGGAAGCUGAGUUCCCUCACUCUCUGCUCUUAUACACUCCCUGAUCUUUAAAGAGAACCUCCUGGGUGCCAAUUCAGGGAAGACAUUAAAAGAAAAAAUAGGAUCCAGUAAAAGGGAGAGCCCAGACUUAAGUUGUGGACUGAAACCCUGAGACCAGACACCAUUCCCUGGAUAAGGGUCUCCCUGAUUUCCAGGGAAUAAAGGUAGCACACAAAAGACUUUUCUAGAUGUCCCUGGCAGCCAGGGGACAAUGCAUGGAUGUUGCUGUAAACCAGCAGUAUGUUGGGUUGGCCAUUCAAUAAGUGCCUUCUGCUUUUGUGAGAUGUAACAGAAAAAAUCCGAAUGAAUUUUUCAGCCAGCCUAAUAGAAAAGGUACUGGAGAAAAGUUGUUGAAUGAUGAAGCCAUCACAAGUGGAAGAAUUCAUAUCCCUUUGGACAGGUCAAGAAGUUGACUCCAAACCCACCACCACCAGCUACUUGUAACAAGAUCUCCUGCAGGCUUCUUGGAGCUCUCACAGUCUCUAAGGAUCAGUUCACCACACAGAGGUCUCUGAAGAUGCAAAGGUGUCCACAGUGCAUCCAGACUUUUCAGGAAGCAGGAAUAAAUAAAAAGUUGCUUGGCUUUUCAAGACAGAAGAAGGAUGGAAGAAGGUAAAAGCGGAUUCUUUACCAGCUGAGCCACAAGAGAAGUCUCUCGAAGAGAACAGAAAUUUAGAAGUUUAAAACUUAUUGGGAACUUCAUGGACCAACUAGAGAAAAGAAAUAGGGCAGAUUUGUAUCCUUCCUUUCUAUUAAACCAUGC
ensembl:lncRNA